rnacentral:rRNA from 1 species
AUGUCAUUGCAUUGUCGAGUAUGUGUAGCGGGAUGGAAAGAAGCGACGCAUUGUCCACGGAGUGGCCGCCAUGGGACUAAACCUGCUGUCGGGCGUGGCGAGCUUGCCGACGUUUUACUACGAGCUGUCCAGGCACGGCUGCUGGCCGGAUGCUCUGUCACGGCAAGCUUUUCUGGUGAGGAUGCUUGUCGGAGUCUCACGGGGUGCUACCUUGCAGCAUGCUCUGUCGCGACAAGCUUGCCUGCGUGGCUGCUAGCCAGAGUCUCAUGGGAUGCUGCCUUGCAGCAUGCUCUAUCGUAG